rnacentral:lncRNA from 1 species
CAGCUACUACGUGACACAGAGCACGAGUCCCCCAUGACAGGUGCUGCAGGGCCUCUUGGGUCUGGCCACACCGAGCCCUGCAACAACUCUUACCAGAGCCCAAACACUUUUUGAGGACUUUGGGGAAAGCAGGAAGGCCGGACAGCAGUACCUACAGGGGCCAAUGGAUCCAAGGAGAAGGCCCAGCGAAAGGAAGGACCCAGCAGCUCCCCCUUGCCAGCGCUGGAGACCCUGGCUCUGGGGCCCAGUCCCAGCCCUAGUCCAGCAGCGACGGACAGUGCAUCAGUCAAGGGCACUGCUCACCUCCCUCCGGACCCAACCGCCAUGAAGGCCAAAGCCGAGCCCCCAUGCAGGCCAGCUCACGUCCCAUUCUGCCAUGUCUCGGGCUGGAGCGAAUUGUAUUGAUAGAAAAUAAAAUGUCGACAUAAAAAAGAAU